rnacentral:rRNA from 1 species
GGACGGGUGAGUAAUGUCUGGGAAACUGCCUGAUGGAGGGGGAUAACUACUGGAAACGGUAGCUAAUACCGCAUAACGUCGCAAGACCAAAGAGGGGGACCUUCGGGCCUCUUGCCAUCGGAUGUGCCCAGAUGGGAUUAGCUGUAGGUGGGGUAACGGCUCACCUAGGCGACGAUCCCUAGCUGGUCUGAGAGGAUGACCAGCCACACUGGAACUGAGACACGGUCCAGACUCCUACGGGAGGCAGCAGUGGGGAAUAUUGCACAAUGGGCGCAAGCCUGAUGCAGCCAUGCCGCGUGUAUGAAGAAGGCCUUCGGGUUGUAAAGUACUUUCAGCGGGGAGGAAGGGAGUAAAGUUAAUACCUUUGCUCAUUGACGUUACCCGCAGAAGAAGCACCGGCUAACUCCGUGCCAGCAGCCGCGGUAAUACGGAGGGUGCAAGCGUUAAUCGGAAUUACUGGGCGUAAAGCGCACGCAGGCGGUUUGUUAAGUCAGAUGUGAAAUCCCCGGGCUCAACCUGGGAACUGCAUCUGAUACUGGCAAGCUUGAGUCUCGUAGAGGGGGGUAGAAUUCCAGGUGUAGCGGUGAAAUGCGUAGAGAUCUGGAGGAAUACCCGGUGGCGAAGGCGGCCCCCUGGACGAAG